ACCCAGCUGACGAGUCUCAGAUAGGACGAAGCGCGCGUCCCGGAU
rnacentral:hammerhead_ribozyme from 1 species